rnacentral:rRNA from 1 species
CAGCAGCCGCCGCGGUAAUACGUAGGUGGCAAGCGUUGUCCGGAAUUAUUGGGCGUAAAGGGCUCGCAGGCGGUUUCUUAAGUCUGAUGUGAAAGCCCCCGGCUCAACCGGGGAGGGUCAUUGGAAACUGGGAAACUUGAGUGCAGAAGAGGAGAGUGGAAUUCCACGCGUAGCGGUGAAAUGCGUAGAGAUGUGGAGGAUCACCAGUGGUGAAGGCGACUCUCUGGUCUGUAACUGACGCUGAGGAGCGAAAGCGUGGGGAGCGAACAGGAUUAGAUACCCGCGUAGUCCCUGUCUCUUAUAC